AAAUCAGAGGCUCCGCAGUGUGCCUGUUCUAGGGCCCAACAGCUACAACCACACCUUCACCGUCUUAGAUUUCCAAGGAAACUCUAUUUCUUACAUUGAUGGAAACACAUGGAAGGGAUUCCGUUGGGUUGAGAAACUAAUUCUCAGGGAUAAUGCUUUGACGGAGUUACAUAAGGAUUCAUUUGAAGGCUUGCUGUCCCUCCGGUAUUUGUAAGUUAAUUAGUUAAUCCUGUUUUCUUCUGAGUUCUUAUCUAGACAGUCGAUUCUGUAUAAAGUGACUGACGGGUUCAAGUUAGAUAAUCUCUACAGUUUCUACAAGCAAUAAAAUCUACAAUUUUAUAAGUCUGUGUAGGGCCCCAGCCCAUCUCUACUUAAAUGUCUCCCGUUCAUUUAAAUUUUUUAAAUGAUCGAGAUGAGAUAUAUAUAGAACAACACCCUUUAGUUGUAGAGGAAGGGUGGUAAUGAGGUCUGAGCCCUUAUAGACACGCACAGGACCCUUAGAAGUGUUCCUCUAUCAUCCACUUAUAUUGAGUUUAUGAUCCAUGGAUCAAAUCUGGCCCAUGGUCCACUGUGAUACAGUCCAUAAGUUGAGGAUGAUUUUUAAAGGCCUGGAAAUGAAAACAGGAGAGAGAGAAACAAAGAAAAAUAUGCAACAAACUGUAUGUGGAAGGCAAAUCCUAAAUAUGUACCCUCUGGCUUUUAUAGAAAAGGUUUGAAAAAGGUAGUUGAGUAAAACAAGCGGAAUUAAGGUUAUCCUCAAAUAGUUACCCAUAGGACAAGAAAAUACAGAACACUUAGAUUAAUCCAAAUGCCACGAACUCAUAAUUUUGGGAGUUUAACCUAAAUUAACUUUUAAAUAUUUAAGCAGGUGGAUUAUGUAAAUGCUAUUGUCAAGAACACAUUAAGUUACGAAGGACAGACUGGUGUGGAGGAUUUCAAUACAGGAAUUAUUAUACCAAUAUUAAAAAUGUUUCAGGUGAUGGGUAAGUGAUAUGUUUACCCUAAGGAAGCAUAUCAGAAGUGCCCCUCACUUCACUAAGUAAAAAUGAGUGUUUCUCUAGCCUCUUUGUCGAGGAGAAAAUGCUUGUAUCGUAUUUCUGUUUAUUUAGAGGUAAAGAGGUACUGUGUUCUUGGCUAUAAAAGCUCAGGUUGUGUCAUUUGUCCACAGCAUCCACAGCUGUCUAUGUCAUUAAUCAUUAGUAAGCUAAGGAAUGAUGCUCUUUAGCAACUAGAUUCUUCUUGCAAAUACAGAAGGCUUAAGUGAAUGGAAUGGGUAUACAAAGCCUCCUGUGGCCUUACGAAUAGUUCUUUGAAUGAUCAAACCUUUGAGGCCUUAAGGGGCAACCAGGGAAUACAACCACUUUUGUAUGCGUCUUGUUGAGUGCCUCUGCCAUCUGGGCUCCAAGCCUUUCAAACAUAGUUUGGAGAAAAACAAGUCUGAUAACUGCUCAGUGGAUUAGGCCCUUUAUUACUUCUACUGUGAAAUGCUUCAUAAGCUGAUGAUUUCAUGUUAGCCUAAGUGUUCUAUUUCAUUCAAAAAAUACCAGUCCAUAAAAAAUCUAAAAAAGAAUACGUCAAGCGCUGUGCCUCGUGUGGUAAACAUAAAGGUGGGGAAGACAGGAUUCCUUCUAGCAACUCACGAUCUCCUAGGAAACAUAAACAUGUGAGUGCGAACCACAGGACACAAGCACCGGAUGGAUGACAGAGCGCUGUAGAGGCACAAAAGCGGGAACCAUGAAGUAAUAAAAGCACACCUCUUUUAAAACAGUCAUUUCCCUCCUAUUUCUCUUACUUUUUCCCCUGGGAACCAUGAAGUAAUAAAAGCACACCUCUUUUAAAACAGUCAUUUCCCUCCUAUUUCUCGUACUUUUUCCCCCAGGUAUUUGUUUAUGUUGUAAAAAUUAGAGUUUGCUUUAUGUCCAUGCAUUGCCUUGAGAAAUGACAGACAAGGAGUUUCCGUCGUGGCACGGCAGAAAGGAAUCUGACUGGGAACUAUGAGGUUGCAGGUUCGAUCCCUGGCCUUGCUGGGUAGAUCAAGGAUCCAGCGUUGCCAUGAGCUGUAGUGUAGGUUGAAGACUCGGCUAGGAUCUGACGUUGCUGUGGCUGUGGUGUAGGUCGGCAGCUGCAGCUCCAGUUAGACCCCUAGCCUGGGAAUUCCAUGUGCCGCAAGUGCAGCCAAGAUAGCCAGUGCACAUGAGCAUGAUCCAGUCCAUACUUUACGGUGUUUAUGCUCAGAGGAAAUGGGAUGCAAAAAUGGCUAUCUUAAAAAGAAGAAAUGGAGGAGUUCUCAUUGUGGCGCAGUGGAAACGAACCUGACUAGGAACCAUGAGGUUGCCGGUUCGAUCGCUGUCCUUGCUCAGCGGGUUCAGGAUCCGGCGUUGCCGUGAGCUGUGGUGUAGGUUGCAGAGUUGGCUCGGACCCCGUGUUGCUGUGGCUCUGUCGUAGGCCAGUGGCUACAGCUCCGAUUAGACCCCUAGCCUGGGAACCUCCAUAUGCCGUGGGAGCGGCCCUA
rnacentral:lncRNA from 1 species